rfam:Triticum urartu cultivar G1812 contig1447567, whole genome shotgun sequence.
GAAGGCACGACAUUGCUCACAUUGCUUCCAAGUAUUAUUUAGCCAGCUCGGGUGCUGGCUUUUUUUU